UUUUUUUAUUAUGAAAAUUACAAUUAAAAUAUAAAACAUAAAUAUUAAAUACACAUUCAAAGAAUACCUUGUUUCACUUUUUACCAUCACACUCAUAAAAUAUUUCAUCUAAUUCAACGAAUGAUGAAUGAUUAUAUCAUUGAAGUGCUUCAGGUGUCACAUAAUUUUCGUGAUAGAUCCAUAAUACAUUUGCAGAAUACAGAUUUUAAACAGAGAUUCAGGCAGAAAAAUUUUUAUUGGAUUACUGAACAUGGUUCAAGAUGGUUUAUGCCAAAUUACAUACCACAAUAUGUCACUGUCAUCAAUAUUGCAGCUUUUAAUUGAACUUAGAUAUUAUGCAACUGGUGCUUUACAGGCAGUUCUAGGAGACCAUAUACGAAUCCAUAAAUAACGCAUAUGUACCGUAUUAUAAAAAGACUAUCAACAGGUAUAGCAUCACUAAAGCAGAUAGUAUUUUACAUUCAAAUGGCAAAAACAGGAACUGACAGAAAAUUGAUCUAUGAAGAUUUCUAUAUAAUGUGCUAAUUUUCUUAAGUCAUGGGAGCAAUAGAUUAGGCAUCAGAAUAUAAUCUCCCAAUAAAAAUAUUGGAUAAAGAUUCCACAGUAAAAAAGGCUAUUUUUCAAUCAAUGUUCAAGACAUAUGCAACAGUAAUUUGCAGCUUCCAAAUAUUGUGGCUUGAUUAGAGUUAAUUUGAAGCAAAAUACUUCAACUAUUAAUUAUUAUAAAUUCACUUUAUACUGAUAUUAUAUUAUAAACACAUUAUUAGAUGGUCCGGUUCAGUAAAUGACUCAACAAUAUUUGAUAACUCUUUAUUAAGAACAUAAUUUCAGAGCAAUGAGUUUUGAGAUUCUGUAAUUGUAGGAGAUGGAGGUUAUGCACGUUGUAAUUAAUUUAUGACACUUCUUUCAAACUUUAUUACUGAAGCAGAAGUACGAUAUCAGAAAAAGGUUAAAAUGUCUUCUACAAAUUGUGUCAACACAACCUAUACUUCAAUGUCUGCUGAAUUUGCAUCCAAAAUAAAAAGAAUAAUUUUAUGGGUGUUAUAUGAUAUUUUUGAAGAUGAAAUCGACUCUACGCCUCUAAAAAUUGUGUUUCGGACAAUCUUAAAAAUUAGUAUCCAUCAAGAUAACUUGUUACCAAAACAAAUUUGCUAAUUAUGUUAUGACAAACUUUCUGAAUAGUAUAUUAUGUUAUCUCAAGAACGCCCUUCCACAGCAUAUUUCAUUCAAAAAAUGAUAGCAGAAAAUAAUGAACUGCAUACUACUGCUACACAAAAAAAUUGAACUUCAUCACCAAUGAACAAAUAACAAGAGGCGGAGCAAAAUAAAAAAGUAGGUAAACAGUAGAAUAAAUAUUUGUUGUUGAACAAAGAACUAAUAAGUGUUAGACAUCUCUACAAGAAAAUAAAAAUGCAAAUAACAUGUAUAAAAAAUUAUGUCAUGUACUCAUGUAUGCAUUAUGAAUACUACCUAUUUUGUCACA